CUCAUAUUCUAGAUUUUUUAUAUUUCUUCCUUCUUUCUACCUCUCCUAUUUCUUGGAUGGAGCCUACGAAUAUAUGCAAUUGGUAUAGUACAUUUCCAUUAUGCAUUUUCUAUAAAUGAGACCCUGGCAAGGUGCUAUGAGUAAGUAGAAGACAGCAUUUCUAGAAUAUACCCUAGAGAUUACACUAAUAAAAAAAGAAAUCACUGCAUAUCACUACACACUUUUUAAAACUCAUAACACUUACAGGCACUGAUCUUAGCUUCAUGACUCAAACUGUUUAGAUGACUUAAAAGCUGUACUGAAAUAGAAUUUCUAAUUUUUCCAUAAAGUAUUCAUGAGGAUCUAUACUGUGACUCAACUCUAAGUCACUGUUUCCUCACCUGUAAAUUUUGGGGGAAUGGGCUAGAUUAGAAAAUUUUCAAACUUUUUUUUUAAAGUACUUUGGAAUUAAAGGUCUUACUUAGUACCCAACAUAUGAAACAGAUCCAAGCAAAGCAUUCCCUACUGAUGAGGAAGGGUGCUCACUCAGUACGCCCUUGGUCCAGCCUCCUUGAUGACUUUCUCAGAGCUCUUUAGGUGCUGCCUUGGAGCACAGCUUGGAAAUCCAAUGGUGCAGAUGACAUCCAGAGUUCUCCAAAUCUGAAUUUAAAUGUCAGCUAUGGCCUUCCAUCCUGGCUAAUACAAAUAAGAGGUACUGAAUAUGUAUUAAACUAUAGAAAUGAUUUGCAUUAAGAGGCACCAACCUGUAUCUCCAGCACUUUUUUUUAACUAGUUUUUGCAGCAACAGAAGGAAAUAUUCUUUACUCGUUCUGUUCAACUGACUUCUAGCCUUUUAUAAGACUGAAAACUCAAUCCCUUGUUAGUUCUCAUUUACAUAAUGUUAAAGGGCACACAUUGGAGUCCCAGAGGAUAAGUAAUUUAAUGUUUAUUUGGCUUUAUUCAAGCAGAUAUUAAGUAGUUAUUACUUAAAAACAAACAAAUGUUAACUAUUAAUAAUAUAGAAAGUAAGGUAAAGAAUUAGCAGCCUUAAGAAAAAUUAGUCAAUAGCCUACUUAGACAAAGAAUCAUUAAAUAAAUAUUUUAAAUUCAUUUUUUUUAUUUAAUAAUGCUUCCACAAAUAUUACAUUGAGGUUUCCAGAGAUAAAAUUAAUGCUUGAUAAUCACCCAGCCCCCAGUUCAAAUAAGACAUUAGAUUAAAAAAUUAAAUUAAAUUAAGAAAUUAGAAAUUUAGAAAAACUGAAGACCAUUUUUAUUAUAUACAAAUAAAAAAAAUUCUAAGUAAACGACUGAACAUUGCAGGGAGAAGCAUUUCUCUUAGGAAGUAGAGAGUUUUUUUUUUUUUUCACAGUUUAGUUUGAGAUUGUAGCUGCUGGAGUUCUAUAUGAGAGGUGGGAGGGAAAGGGAGAGAGAAGGGAAAUUGCAUGGAAAUGGAAGGAGACCCUCAGGGUUAUACAAAAUUACAUACAAGAGGAAGUGAGGGGAAAG
rnacentral:lncRNA from 1 species